UUCAAGUGAUUUUAUGUUUGUGGAGACUAUUAGAGGACAAAAAGAAUUCAAAAUCUAAACCAUUUGGUGCUACAUCGCUUAUCCCAGGUCUCACCUUUCCAACUUCCUGUUACCAAGAAUCGUCCAUUACACGAUCAAGUCAUUUGACAGUAGCUCAUAUGCUGUUUGCCUCCUCCACAAUUCCAUAUGGCUCUGUAAAAAUCAAAUAAUGAUGAUGAAAUACUUAUCAGCAGUACUGGUCUAUAUUAAGGAACUGCCAUUAAGCUUACCUCUUCAAAAUCCAUUGCUAAAUUCAUCAAUAUACUUCUGGCAAACUAAAGAAAGAUACAAAAUUGUUCUGUAAGCAAAAAAAA